rnacentral:rRNA from 1 species
GACGAACGCUGGCGGCGUGCCUAAUACAUGCAAGUCGAGCGGACGGAUGGGAGCUUGCUCCCAGACCGUCAGCGGCGGACGGGUGAGUAACACGUGGGCAACCUUCCUGUAAGACUGGGAUAACUCCGGGAAACCGGGGCUAAUACCGGAUAACUCUUUCCCUCACAUGAGGGAAAGCUGAAAGAUGGCAUCUCGCUAUCACUUACAGAUGGGCCCGCGGCGCAUUAGCUAGUUGGUGAGGUAACGGCUCACCAAGGCGACGAUGCGUAGCCGACCUGAGAGGGUGAUCGGCCACACUGGGACUGAGACACGGCCCAGACUCCUACGGGAGGCAGCAGUAGGGAAUCUUCCGCAAUGGACGAAAGUCUGACGGAGCAACGCCGCGUGAGUGAUGAAGGUUUUCGGAUCGUAAAACUCUGUUGUCAGGGAAGAACAAGUACCGGAGUAACUGCCGGUACCUUGACGGUACCUGACCAGAAAGCCACGGCUAACUACGUG